rnacentral:rRNA from 1 species
UACAGAGGGUGCAAGCGUUAAUCGGAAUGACUGGGCGUAAAGGGCGCGUAGGUGGGAAAAUAAGUCAGAUGUGAAAGCCCUGGGCUUAACCUGGGAAAGUCAUUUGAAACUGUUUUUCUAGAGUGGAGUAGAGGGCAGUGGAAUUUCCGGUGUAGCGGUGAAAUGCGUAGAUAUCGGAAGGAACACCAGUGGCGAAGGCGGCUGUCUGGACUCUAACUGACACUGAGGCGCGAAAGCGUGGGGAGCGAACAGG